rnacentral:snRNA from 1 species
AGACACGAGGGUGAUCUGGCCGUGGGAUCUGGCACCCCACUGAUUGCCAGAGUUGACUCGUCUGAUUUGGCUGGCUAGGUAGGUAUCCUCUUCCUCCCUUACUGCUCUAUGUGCUGCCUUCUCGAAGCUGCACACUUGGUCGAAGAGGAUGACCAUCCCUGUUCUUUGGUCAAGGGUACAUGAACAGCUGUGUUCCCCUGCUAGAACCUUCAAACAAGCUCUCAAGAUAAUGCCAAAACAAUUAUAAAAAAGGGGAAAAAAAAGUAAAAAUCUAGAAGGACUGUGCACUCAUUGAUUUCCAAGUGUUUAAGCUCUUCUUCAGUCUUAGAAAAU